AACGAACGCUGGCGGCAUGCCUAACACAUGCAAGUCGAACGAGACCUUCGGGUCUAGUGGCGCACGGGUGCGUAACGCGUGGGAACCUGCCCUUAGGUUCGGAAUAACUCCCCGAAAGGGGUGCUAAUACCGGAUAAUGUCUUCGGACCAAAGAUUUAUCGCCUUUGGAUGGGCCCGCGUUGGAUUAGCUAGUUGGUAGGGUAAAAGCCUACCAAGGCGACGAUCCAUAGCUGGUCUGAGAGGAUGAUCAGCCACACUGGGACUGAGACACGGCCCAGACUCCUACGGGAGGAAGCAGUGGGGAUGAUGGAACAAUGGGCGAAAGCCUGAUCCAGCAAGGCCGCGUGGGUGAUGAAGGCCUUAGGGUGGUAAAGCUCUUUUACCCGGGAUGAUAUUGACAGUACCGGAGGAAUAAGCUCCGGCUAACUCCGU
rnacentral:rRNA from 1 species